rnacentral:rRNA from 1 species
UACGUAGGGGGCAAGCGUUGUCCGGAUUCAUUGGGCGUAAAGAGCGUGUAGGCGGCCAGGUAGGUCGGUUGUGAAAACUGGAGGCUCAACCUUCAGAGGUCGACCGAAACCAUCUGGCUAGAGUCCGGGAGAGGAGAGUGGAAUUCCUGGUGUAGCGGUGAAAUGCGCAGAUAUCAGGAAGAACACCCGUGGCGAAAGCGGCUCUCUGGAACGGUACUGACGCUGAGACGCGAAAGCGUGGGGAGAGAACAGG